rnacentral:rRNA from 1 species
GAUGAACGCUGGCGGCGUGCCUAAUACAUGCGAGUCGAGCGAACAGACGAGGAGCUUGCUCCUCUGACGUUAGCGGCGGACGGGUGAGUAACACGUGGAUAACCUACCUAUAAGACUGGGAUAACUUCGGGAAACCGGAGCUAAUACCGGAUAAUAUAUUGAACCGCAUGGUUCAAUAGUGAAAGACGGUUUUGCUGUCACUUAUAGAUGGAUCCGCGCCGCAUUAGCUAGUUGGUAAGGUAACGGCUUACCAAGGCAACGAUGCGUAGCCGACCUGAGAGGGUGAUCGGCCACACUGGAACUGAGACACGGUCCAGACUCCUACGGGAGGCAGCAGUAGGGGAUCUUCCGCAAUGGGCGAAAGCCUGACGGAGCAACGCCGCGUGAGUGAUGAAGGUCUUCGGAUCGUAAAACUCUGUUAUUAGGGAAGAACAAAUGUGUAAGUAACUAUGCACGUCUUGACGGUACCUAAUCAGAAAGCCACGGCUAACUACGUG